GACAGAGGUGCCGAGCGUUAGGCGGAAUCACUGGGCUUAAAGCGUGUGUAGGCGGACUUCUAAGUACCUUGUGAAAUCCCACGGCUCAACCGUGGAACUGCUUGGUAUACUGGUCGUCUUGAGCCAUCUAGGGGCUGUCGGAACAAAUGGUGGAGCGGUGAAAUGCGUAGAUAUCAUUUGGAACGCCAACGGCGAAAGCAGGCAGCUGGGGAUGUACCGACGCUGAGACACGAAAGCCAGGGGAGCGAACGGG
rnacentral:rRNA from 1 species